AGCAGCCGCGGUAAUUCCAGCUCCAAUAGCGUAUAUUAAAGUUGUUGCGGUUAAAAAGCUCGUAGUUGAAUUUCGGGAUCAAUUUAUCGGUCGUGCCAAUGGUAUGAACUGGUACAAUUGGUCUCUCCCUUCUGAAGAACCAUGAUGUCAUUAAUUUGGUGUUGUGGGGAAUCAGGACUGUUACUUUGAAAAAAUUAGAGUGUUUAAAGCAGGCUUAGGCUUGAAUACAUUAGCAUGGAAUAAUGAAAUAGGACGCUUUGAUCCUAUUUCGUUGGUUUCUAGGAUCGACGUAAUAAUUAAUAGGGAUAGUUGGGGGCAUUAGUAUUCAAUUGUCAGAGGUGAAAUUCUUGGAUUUAUUGAAGACUAACUACUGCGAAAGCAUUUGCCAAGGAUGUUUUCAUUAAUCAAGAACGAAAGUUAGGGGAUCGAAGACGAUCAGAUACCGUCGUAGUCUUAACCAUAAACUAUGCCGACUAGGGAUCGGAUGAUGUUAAUUUUUAAAUGACUCA
rnacentral:rRNA from 1 species